rnacentral:misc_RNA from 1 species
GCAUUUGACAGCAUGGCCUACACUGUGCCAGCGACGAGAAGUAAUCAUGUGGGGAUCACUGUGUCCUAGUGCCAAGUGGUCAGGCUGUGCCGCAGCUUAUCUAGCCAACGCGCAUGGCCGAAGGUGGAGCUGAGCUGACCUCACAGGCACCCUUCGUACUGGCAGAGUACCAGUCGCUUGAUGGCAUCCUUGCACCGAUCAGGAACCUCACUAGGGUCAAGUAUGCCUGCUUCGACGCAUCCAAACGGUACCUCGCCUUCGGGGCUACAACUGGAGAUGUCUUCAUGUUUCAUCGAGACACCACUGCAUACAUUACAACAAUCACAAACAAGGAGGGUGCAGUGUCACAGGUUGCCUUGGCACCAGAUGACUUCGUCCUUGGUGUCGCCACUAGUCGUGGGCACGUUGUCGUCCUGGAGCACAAUGCCAGGAAACCCGCAGUGCAGGCACAGAGGCUGCAGCUGUCUUUUGAGCACAAGGGAAGUGUGGUCACAUGCCUGGAGUGGAACAGUGUGGGGACGCGACUCUUUGCCGCCGACAAUACUGGAAAGGUUUCCAUACUCAAUGUGUCUACAUCUAAGGCCAAAAGUUUGUUCCAGUCACCACCAAGCACUCUGAUGCGCUUAGACUCCAAAGUUGUGCAACUGAACUUCGCACAAGAUCGGCUGCUUGCUUCAACGUUGACAAGAUGUUAUCUCGGUGACACAAUCAGAGAAAAGUUCACUCAAGUUGGCAAGAAGCUGAGGGACGGCGAGUUUGGUGGCUGUUUCUACCCCGGCAGCAAGCCUCAGGACUCUAUGUGCAUUUACGCAGCCCGUCCAGGGUCUAGAAUAUGGCAGGCUGAUCUCAAGGGCAGCGUGCUCAAAACUCACCAGUUCAAGGAAGCUCUUGCCAUCAAUCCAGUCAAAUUAGUCACAUAUAGGUCCGAUACUAGCAUUCUUGGAAGCACAGCAUCCUCAGCCUCAACAACAGCAUUUACUAAACUACUGACUGUAUGGGCAAGCAGUCACAACUUGCCAUAUCUGAUAUCAUGGAGUUCCAACGGCCUUUAUGUAAUUGAUCCACAAGCAGGAGAGAUAGUUCUGUGGAAUGACGAGCUGAAAGAUGUGAAAGAUUUGAGGUGUGUGCGCAACAACAUUUACAUCCAACUGCACAGUGGCGAAUUCUGUGCCUGUUGCCUGCUGACGCCAGUGCAAGCUGUCCUGUGCCUCCUGCAGCACAAUCAUGCAACGCUAUGUGGUCAGUUUCUCUGCCAAAACCAGCUUCUGAUUCCUAAGCCAGCCUUUGAUAAGACUCUGUCCAGCGAACUGUGCUUUGAACUCCAUGACAAACUCCAGGAGGCCGGUCAGGUUUCAUUGGCCAUGUCUGUUGCAAAGGUACUCUUGGACAGCUACGACGUUGACAUCACUAACAAGCCAGCUAAGCCAAAGGUUGAUCUUGCCAAAGAAGAAUGCUUAGACCCAGCAUCGUCUAACCUUGCACAUGUGUCUGUUGAGCGUGCGCCGACCAAACGACGCAGCAGAGAAGCCCAGAAAUCCAAGGAUGAAUUGGGUGUUUCUUCACCUCGUCACGUUCGCUGCCACUCAUCGGAGCCUGUCAAGACCCAUCUGGUGUCCAGCCCAAGACCUGUGCGAAAAACAGUGAGGCGUGGAAGUGAUCCUCCACCACUGGGCACAUUAGACAAAAUACCAUCAGCAGAGUCCUCUUUGAAACUCAAACCAACCAAGGCAUGCAGUCCAAGACCAGCCCGGAGAACCGUGGGCUUGUCGAGUGGGCAGAGAGAGAGAAGCCUGAGCCUGGACGCUCCUCGACAGGUAACACACGAAUCUCAGCCAUCACGAACACUCUCAGAGAGGCCACGGCAGCUACCAACUGUAGCCAAGAGCUCUGCAUUUGUGGGCCUCAGCGUGGGAAGCCGUGAUCAGAACAAGGAGACAACAAAAGUCAGCAGCAGCAACAGUUCAGGCAGGGAGACUCCAGAGGACUCCGAAGUGUCACCGACUCCGGGGUGCUCCGUGGCUGAACGGGGCAACAACAAGAAGGCCUACGGCAGUGCUCUGCGAAUAUUACCAGCCAUUCCUGCAUCGCCCUUGGAUUCGCCAAUGAGUCCUUUGGACAGGGUAGACCCGGAGGUGUUGGCCAGCAUGUAUGCUGAACAAGAUGUGGGCUACGAAAGCGUCUACCAGUACCUCAGCUUGGGGGUGUAUGGCUCAAGCCUUGUACCCGCUGCCUUCACCAUGCGAGGCACUGACCUUGCUCAGCUAGCUAAUGUUGCUGAUCUUGCGAAGCUUCGAGAUACGCUUUCAUCGAGGCUAUCCAAUGGAAAAGACUCCAUACUGAAAAACCUCCGUGGCCUGGAGAGCAAGUUAAAGUACUUUUCAGUGGACCAAGCCGCAGACGUGGGCCUCACAUCUCCAUUGUCUGUGGUACCAGAGUGCACUCCAGCUGAGCCUAACUUAAGGCCAGCAGAAAAUUUUAGCAAGCACUUGACACCAAAGGAUGAGUUUUGGUCUUUCCUGCCUGGUGUGAACAGCAGCUUCAUUGAGGCAACGCUGCAAGCAAGCUCAAAUGCCAGUGACCCCAGCAUAUUUUACCAUGGUCCCAGCCUUGUCAUGGUCCUUGAAGAAUGGCUUGACGCUCUACAUUCCACUCAGAUUUCUAUAGUCAACCAGAUAGCAUCUACAGAGACAGCAAAGCUUCCUGCUGUUAUAAGCCACUGUGAUAGUGUACAGAAGUCACCCGAUGAAACGUUCUCUUCUCCCAGCUCCCAGAGUGAGACCAGAAUCAGCGCGCAAGUGAACCUUAUCAAAUCCAUCUUCACCAGCGAUCCAUUUCGCCUCCCCUCCGAAGUGGCAGAGAAGGCUCGGGAGUUGGCUAUGCUGUGCUUUCAAACACGAACACUGGGCAGUGUGGAAAGAGUUGCCACAAAGGUGUCUGAAGUUGAAAGUCGUGAGAAACUUGCGUCGUCAAUGUAUAACGGCAGCUCUGCUGCUACAGACAAUAAGCUCUCCAAGCACAGUAGUACAAAUUCGCUCGGGAGCGAGGACACUUCGACGCACUGCGACCUCAGUCUUUCAAUGCGGUCCUCGGCAUCUGAGAAGUACGGGUUUCACCUCUCCGAGAUGCCAACCGUCGACUCCUGCAGCGAAUCGGCCAUGUUCCAGAGCAUGUCUUCAUCUUGCGGAGGCUUCUCAAUCAAUUUGGACUUCCGGCCUGAAGAAUCGGGGCAGCAGCCAGAUACACUCUGUGUUAGGAAAAUGCCUCUCAGUCAGUGCAGGCAAGAGACGAAUGGUGAUGGAACUGAGAGUGCGAAUCAGGAGCAGGGCGUGGCAGACCUUGCCACUGUUUCAGGUGCUUCGCCCAGUCAGUCUCCUCUUCGAGAGAAUGAGAAUGUCAGCAUGCGUGACGAUGCAGCAGUGCCAACGGAAGGCUCUAAAGUUUCUAGAGACGAAUGUUUUGGUGCCAUCGGUGUGAAUGGUUUUGCGUCGCACGAAGCAGUGGAUUCAUGCCAAAGUGUAGCAGGCGAAGGUUUCACAGGCCAAAGAAACUUGUCAGUUUACAGUGAUCUGUCGCCUAGUCAGGGUUCUCAAAGCGAAGCCACGUCAGUUUCCUGGAUGCCAAUGAUUGCACAGAGUAAGGAGAAGACAGAGUUGUUCAAAAACCAUGUAAAUGAUGCCAAAACCGCACUCUUCAUUCGAUAUUACUUUCACCUCCUUGAUCUUGAAGUUGUGUGGGAUGUUGUGCAGCUCACGGAGAAUCCAUGUUUUGAGACGUGGAGCACUGUAGUGUUGGGUGUGCUUCAAGAGUUGAAGGCUCGACAUCGGAAUGAAAGUGGUCCUGAACAUCUGGUCAUCAUCGCGCAUCAGGUGGAAAACUUGGCCAGUCAACCAUGGCUGCUUCUACCCUACCUUGUGCUAUUGCAUGAAGUGGCACAGGAGAAAUUGGAAGACACAUUCACCAAGAAAGCCAGCUGUCUGUCAGCAAGAGACAUCCUCUACUUCACCCAGCUGUGCAAGGUGGAAUCCUUUUUUCUCGGAGCCAUGCAGAGUGCUCUAAGCUGUUUCACCUUGCCACAGAUGCUCUCAUCAUUUCGCAAGUACCUUGAGAAUGAAGAGGUUCGGUGGGAGUGGGUAACGCAGUGCUUGCAAUCUGUAAAUAAUGAGUGCCUCAAGUGUUCCUGCGGAGCUCCAAGCUACAACUCACACAAAACUAACUGGCCUAUGUACGAGCACUUAAAAGCCGUGUUGUGCAACAAGGACUGGAUAUCCCAGAAAAGCUUGGAGCUUUGUCGGACAUAUGCGUUUUGGCCUGGCUACCUCUGUGCACUAAAGCACUUGGGUCAUCGUACGGAGCACCUUGUGAAUGUGAUACAGCUGGGAGAUGCUGAGCUGCUUAUGCCAGACAAUUUUCUAGGGUUUGUGCCAGAGUCCCCCCAGGAAUGGAAGUUGGCGAUGGAGCUGGUCGGGCGUCACCGCACCGAGAAGGUUGUUGUGGUCACGUGCUUGUCAUGCGGGAAACCCCACAAGUCAACGGAGAGCCAGAUGCCCCUGACGGUGCAGAGCGUAGCUCAACGCAUGCUGGCCUCUCUAGGAUUCGAGCAGGCAGCCGCGGUCCUCCAUGAGCUGAAUCUGCCUCGCAACUCCUUGGGCCAGGGCUUCUACCUCGCCAGUGUGCUUCUAACACUCAUUGAACAGCAACAGGCUGCCCUGAGCCACCGCAUGUUAUCUCGCCUGGAGAGCUAUGUCUGGUCACGGAGGCCUGUCACACUACCACCUCAGGUUGCAGAUGUCCUUGACAGGGAGAAGCAGGGUCUGGCUGGCCAUGACGAACUGACAGAUGUGCAGCUGCAAGGAUCAUUUGUGGAGGAGCCUGAAAGCCACUGGGGGGGCAACAUUCCUCUUCUCUCAAAUUGUUUUCUCUGUGGGCUGCCUCUGGGAACUACUGUUAGCACACAUGCCGUCGUUAUGUGCCACUGUGGUCACUGCUUCCAUGAGAGCUGUCUUCCUAGUCCAGGAGAUUUUUGUGUAAUCUGCAAGGAGGAGCAUAUUUGGAAGCGAUGAUAGCAUUUGUGAUGUUACGGCACAUUUGAGUCAACAAUGGCUGCUUGCCGUGCGGCCAACUCAACAGCGCCUUUAACUCCUGCCAGGUUGCGCCUCAUCAGAAGGAAGUGUUUGUCGUCGGGAUUUCUUGCUUGCUAUUCAACAGGUGGUGCUGUCCUGCGCUCAACGAAGUCAAGGAAGCCCUAUUUGUGGACCUAUUUGUGGAUACAUGUUUACUCUAGAAGAAGAUAGCAGUGUUAUUUUUUCCCUCUGUGCCACAUUGUUUGUUGCUUCCUCUAGUCCCUUUUUGAGCCUUGAUGGUUCUCUGCCAUCGACUUAGGUGCUACUUUGACAGGUGUUUGCUAAAGUGCACAAAAGUCAUCUUGCUGGAAUGUCUCCAAUGAAUGCCUGGGUUUUUCCCAUGAUUGCUUGUGUGUUGAAAGAAACUGUCUGUCCCAUCUGCUGAUUAGUGGAGCCACAGACAAAAGACAAUGACGACACCGAGACGUAGUUCUGUAUAAAAAAACACCGAGACGUAGUUCUGUAUAAAAAAACAUAGAAGCUCCUGUUUAUUCAUGCCGACUAGAAAAUGCACACACGCAUCAGAUUCCAUCCACUUGCAUCUGCUUGUUUAUGUACAAUGUUAAACUUGUUCUCACUCUUGGCAUUGUGUGUUGGCUACCUGUGCACUCUUGCGUUCUUCGUUUUUUCUUCUUUCUUGAAGUGCUGCACACUGAUGAACGUAAAGUCCUUGUGUCAAGCUCAUCAUCGAAGCAAUGUGCAGUGAAAAGUGUGAUUGCAAACGACUGCUUUUUACAUUACAUCACCCCAUCUUUCGACGCUUGCAUUCUUGUCACAGAAAUAAAUUAGUAUGUACAUAACACAA